GGAGGGGUUCCCGAGUGGCCAAAGGGGACGGGCUGUAAACCCGUUGGCUCUGCCUUCGGAGGUUCAAAUCCUCCCCCCUCCA
rnacentral:tRNA from 1 species